GGGUUGUGAGGUUAAGCGACUAAGCGUACACGGUGGAUGCCCUGGCAGUCAGAGGCGAUGAAGGACGUGCUAAUCUGCGAAAAGCGUCGGUAAGGUGAUAUGAACCGUUAUAACCGGCGAUGUCCGAAUGGGGAAACCCAGUGUGAUUCGUCACACUAUCGUUAACUGAAUACAUAGGUUAACGAGGCGAACCGGGGGAACUGAAACAUCUAAGUACCCCGAGGAAAAGAAAUCAACCGAGAUUCCCCCAGUAGCGGCGAGCGAACGGGGAGCAGCCCAGAGUCUGAAUCAGCUUGUGUGUUAGUGGAACGGUCUGGAAAGUCCGACGGUACAGGGUGAUAGUCCCGUACACCAAAAUGCACAGGUUGUGAACUCGAAGAGUAGGGCGGGACACGUGGUAUCCUGUCUGAAUAUGGGGGGACCAUCCUCCAAGGCUAAAUACUCCUGACUGACCGAUAGUGAACCAGUACCGUGAGGGAAAGGCGAAAAGAACCCCGGCGAGGGGAGUGAAAAAGAACCUGAAACCGUGUACGUACAAGCAGUGGGAGCACCUUCGGGUGUGACUGCGUACCUUUUGUAUAAUGGGUCAGCGACUUAUAUUCUGUAGCAAGGUUAACCGUAUAGGGGAGCCGCAGGGAAACCGAGUCUUAACUGGGCGUUAAGUUGCAGGGUAUAGACCCGAAACCCGGUGAUCUAGCCAUGGGCAGGUUGAAGGUUGGGUAACACUAACUGGAGGACCGAACCGACUAAUGUUGAAAAAUUAGCGGAUGACUUGUGGCUGGGGGUGAAAGGCCAAUCAAACCGGGAGAUAGCUGGUUCUCCCCGAAAGCUAUUUAGGUAGCGCCUCGUGAACUCAUCUUCGGGGGUAGAGCACUGUUUCGGCUAGGGGGUCAUCCCGACUUACCAACCCGAUGCAAACUACGAAUACCGAAGAAUGUUAUCACGGGAGACACACGGCGGGUGCUAACGUCCGUCGUGAAGAGGGAAACAACCCAGACCGCCAGCUAAGGUCCCAAAGUCAUGGUUAAGUGGGAAACGAUGUGGGAAGGCACAGACAGCCAGGAUGUUGGCUUAGAAGCAGCCAUCAUUUAAAGAAAGCGUAAUAGCUCACUGGUCGAGUCGGCCUGCGCGGAAGAUGUAACGGGGCUAAACCAUGCACCGAAGCUGCGGCAGCGACACUAUGUGUUGUUGGGUAGGGGAGCGUUCUGUAAGCCUGCGAAGGUGUGCUGUGAGGCAUGCUGGAGGUAUCAGAAGUGCGAAUGCUGACAUAAGUAACGAUAAAGCGGGUGAAAAGCCCGCUCGCCGGAAGACCAAGGGUUCCUGUCCAACGUUAAUCGGGGCAGGGUGAGUCGACCCCUAAGGCGAGGCCGAAAGGCGUAGUCGAUGGGAAACAGGUUAAUAUUCCUGUACUUGGUGUUACUGCGAAGGGGGGACGGAGAAGGCUAUGUUAGCCGGGCGACGGUUGUCCCGGUUUAAGCAUGUAGGCUGGUUGUCCAGGCAAAUCCGGAUAAUCAAGGCUGAGGUGUGAUGACGAGGCACUACGGUGCUGAAGUAACAAAUGCCCUGCUUCCAGGAAAAGCCUCUAAGCAUCAGGUAACAUUAAAUCGUACCCCAAACCGACACAGGUGGUCAGGUAGAGAAUACCAAGGCGCUUGAGAGAACUCGGGUGAAGGAACUAGGCAAAAUGGUGCCGUAACUUCGGGAGAAGGCACGCUGGUGUGUAGGUGAAGUCCCUGCGGAUGGAGCUGAGACCAGUCGAAGAUACCAGCUGGCUGCAACUGUUUAUUAAAAACACAGCACUGUGCAAACACGAAAGUGGACGUAUACGGUGUGACGCCUGCCCGGUGCCGGAAGGUUAAUUGAUGGGGUUAUCCGUAAGGAGAAGCUCUUGAUCGAAGCCCCGGUAAACGGCGGCCGUAACUAUAACGGUCCUAAGGUAGCGAAAUUCCUUGUCGGGUAAGUUCCGACCUGCACGAAUGGCGUAAUGAUGGCCAGGCUGUCUCCACCCGAGACUCAGUGAAAUUGAACUCGCUGUGAAGAUGCAGUGUACCCGCGGCAAGACGGAAAGACCCCGUGAACCUUUACUAUAGCUUGACACUGAACAUUGAGCCUUGAUGUGUAGGAUAGGUGGGAGGCUUUGAAGCGUGGACGCCAGUCUGCGUGGAGCCAACCUUGAAAUACCACCCUUUAAUGUUUGAUGUUCUAACGUUGGCCCCUGACCGGGGUUGCGGACAGUGUCUGGUGGGUAGUUUGACUGGGGCGGUCUCCUCCCAAAGCGUAACGGAGGAGCACGAAGGUUAGCUAAUCCUGGUCGGACAUCAGGAGGUUAGUGCAAUGGCAUAAGCUAGCUUGACUGCGAGCGUGACGGCGCGAGCAGGUGCGAAAGCAGGUCAUAGUGAUCCGGUGGUUCUGAAUGGAAGGGCCAUCGCUCAACGGAUAAAAGGUACUCCGGGGAUAACAGGCUGAUACCGCCCAAGAGUUCAUAUCGACGGCGGUGUUUGGCACCUCGAUGUCGGCUCAUCACAUCCUGGGGCUGAAGUAGGUCCCAAGGGUAUGGCUGUUCGCCAUUUAAAGUGGUACGCGAGCUGGGUUUAGAACGUCGUGAGACAGUUCGGUCCCUAUCUGCCGUGGGCGCUGGAGAAUUGAGGGGGGCUGCUCCUAGUACGAGAGGACCGGAGUGGACGCAUCACUGGUGUUCGGGUUGUCAUGCCAAUGGCACUGCCCGGUAGCUAAAUGCGGAAGAGAUAAGUGCUGAAAGCAUCUAAGCACGAAACUUGCCCCGAGAUGAGUUCUCCCUGAGACUUUAAGUCUCCUGAAGGAACGUUGAAGACGACGACGUUGAUAGGCCGGGUGUGUAAGCGCAGCGAUGCGUUGAGCUAACCGGUACUAAUGAACCGUGAGGCUUAACCUUACAACGCCGAAGGUGUUU
rnacentral:rRNA from 1 species